AUUGAACGCUGGCGGCAGGCCUAACACAUGCACGUCGAGCGCGCGGCGGACGGGUGAGUAAUGUAUGGGGACUGCCCGAUAUAGGGGGAUAACUCCUGUAAACGGUAGCUCAUCCCGCCUACUAUCUGAUAACCCCUAUGGGAUUAGCUAGUAGGUGAGGUAAUGGCUCACCUAGGCGACGAUCCCUAGCUGGUCUGAGAGGAUGAUCAGCCACACUGGGACUGAGACAAGGCCCAGACUCCUACGGAGGCAGCAGUGGGGAAUAUUGCACAAUGGGCGCAAGCCUGAUGCAGCCAUGCCGCGUGUAUGAAGAAGGCCCUAGGGUUGUAAAGUACUUUCAGUCGGGAGGCGUUACCGACAGAAGAAGCACCGGCUAACUCCGUGCCAGCAGCCGCGGUAAUUC
rnacentral:rRNA from 1 species